rnacentral:rRNA from 1 species
UUCCGGUUGAUCCCGCCGGACCCGACUGCUAUUUGGGUGAGAAUAAGCCAUGCGAGUUGAAUGGGAUACCUAAAGUUCCCAUAGCAAACUGCUCAGUAACACAUGAUCAACUUACCCUAUAGAGAAAAAUAACCUCGGGAAACUGAGGAUAAUGUUUCAUAAUUGAAUUGGCUUGGAAAAGUUUUUCAAUGAAAAGGAUAAAAAAAAUGGUUUUUAUCUGCUAUAGGAUAGGAUCGUGUUCGAUUAUGGUUGUUGGCGAGAUAAUGGCUCACCAAGCCGAUAAUCGAUAGGGGCCGUGAGAGCGGGAGCCCCGAGAUGGGUACUGAGACAACGACCCAGGCCUUACGAGGCGCAGCAGGCGCGGAACCUCCGCAAUACACGAAAGUGUGACGGGGUUACCCAAAGUGUUCAAUAGAACUGUGGUAGGUGAGUAAUGUCCCCUACUAGAAAGGAGAGGGCAAGGCUGGUGCCAGCCGCCGCGGUAAAACCAGCUCUUCAAGUGGUCGGGAUAAUUAUUGGGCUUAAAGUGUCCGUAGCCGGUUUAGUAAGUUCCUGGUAAAAUCGGGUAGCUUAACUAUCUGCAUGCUAGGAAUACUGCUAUACUAGAGGGCGGGAGAGGUCUGAGGUACUACAGGGGUAGGGGUGAAAUCUUAUAAUCCUUGUAGGACCACCAGUGGCGAAGGCGUCAGACUGGAACGCGCCUGACGGUGAGGGACGAAAGCCAGGGGAGCGAACCGGAUUAGAUACCCGGGUAGUCCUGGCCGUAAACGAUGCAUACUAGGUGAUGGUACGGCCAUGAGCCGUAUCAGUGCCGUAGGGAAACCGUUAAGUGUGCCGCCUGGGAAGUACGGUCGCAAGGCUAAAACUUAAAGGAAUUGGCGGGGGAGCACCACAAGGGGUGAAGCCUGCGGUUCAAUUGGAUUCAACGCCGGGAAUCAUUAGUGCGGCCGCUGCAGGUCGACCAUAUGGAGAGCUCCCAACGCGUUGGAUGCUACUUGAGUAUUCUAUAGUGUCACCUAAAUAGCUUGGCGUAAUCAUGGUCAUAGCCUGUUUCUGUUGUGAAUUUGUUAUCCGCUUCACAAUUCCACAUCACAUACGAGCCCGA